GCCCCCUUGGGCUCCAGCCCCUGCCUUAACCUGGGAACACCCUCACCUGCCCCCUCACCCCGCUAAUUCCUUGCUCUGCCGAGGUCUCUCUGGGCGUGGCAUUCAGUAAAAACCCUUGCCUGGAGCCCAACAAAGGUGGGGGCGGAUCCUCAUGGUCUCCAUACUCACCAUAUUUUUUUUAAAAACUCACUUCAACUGUUUCGGUGACCUAAGUGUCUGCUUGUUUGGCCUCAGAGACAGACCAGCAGCCCCUGGACGGGAGGAGAGAGCCCGCAUCAAAUGUUAUCAGCCUCGGACCCCACCCCAUUUGGAUCUGCUCUUCCCCACCCCAGAAGGCAGAGUAAGACUGUGUUCCUAAAGCGUGGGACGUGCAGUAGAUAUUCUGAAAAUGUUACUUCCCUCCAGAAGAGCCCGGAAAAGGGACACAAAGAGAGACAGAACUGGAACUGGUGUGCUUAUCACAUGUCCCCUUUAAUGUCUCAAAUGUUACCAUUCAGCAAUCCAGCACCAUUCCACGAGUGGCCUCUGGGCUCCUGAUGCAAGCCUGAGGGACGCUACGGCACCCGGGCCUCCAGGGAGGCCUCCUCAGCUCUAACGUGGUUGUGGAUCCAGUCAAGGUAGCGACUGACUUUCGUGUAAACGCCGUAAUUGUGGAGGCGCCCGCAGCCCUCACCCCAGCUCACCAGGCCCACCAGGAACCAGGUGCCACGGAAGGACACAACCAUAGGCCCUCCACUGUCACCCUCACAGGCAUCCUGUGAGUCCCCAAGGGUGCCCGCACACAGCAUGUUCUCGGAGAUCAUGUUGUGCAUGGCAUUGAUGCAAUCAUUUUGAGGGACCACGGGGAUCUUGAUAAAGUUGAGGACAAA